rnacentral:rRNA from 1 species
UACGUAUGGGGCAAGCGUUGUUCGGAAUUACUGGGCAUAAAGGGUGCGUAGGUGGUCUAUUAAGUCAGGGGUGAAAUCCCGCGGCCCAACCGUGGAACUGCCUUUGAUACUGGUGGACUUGAGUGCGUGAGGGGUAGGGGGAACGAGCAGUGUAGCGGUGAAAUGCGUAGAGAUCAUGAGGAAGACCAGUGGCGAAGGCGGGUCUCUGGACAGUUCCUGACACUGAGACACGAAGGCCAGGGGAGCAAACGGG